rnacentral:rRNA from 1 species
GGACCCGCACAAGUAGUGGAGCAUGUGGUUUAAUUCGAAGCAACGCGAAAAACCUUACCUGGUCUUGACAUCCUGCGAACUUUUUAGAGAUAGAAAGGUGCCUUCGGGAACGCAGUGACAGGUGCUGCAUGGCUGUCGUCAGCUCGUGUUGUGAAAUGUUGGUUAAGUCCCGUAACGAGCGCAACCCUUGUCCUUAUUUGCCAGCACGUAAUGGUGGGAACUCUAAGGAGACUGCCGGUGACAAACCGGAGGAAGGUGGGGACGACGUCAAGUCAUCAUGGCCCUUACGACCAGGGCUACACACGUGCUACAAUGGGGCGUACAGAGGGUUGCGAAGCCGCGAGGUGGAGCC